rnacentral:rRNA from 1 species
UACGGGGGGGGCAAGCGUUGUUCGGAAUUACUGGGCGUAAAGGGCUUGUAGGUGGCCAACUAAGUCAGACGUGAAAUCCCUCGGCUUAACCGGGGAACUGCGUCUGAUACUGGAUGGCUUGAGUGUGGGAGAGGGAUGCGGAAUUCCAGGUGUAGCGGUGAAAUGCGUAGAUAUCGGGAGGAACACCAGUGGCGAAGGCGACUACCUGGCCUGUUUCUUGACGCUGAGGCGCGAAAGCUAGGGGAGCAAACGGGG